rnacentral:rRNA from 1 species
GACCAACGCCGGCGGCGUGCCGAAUAUAGGUAUGUCGAGCGAAGCGGCGGAUGGGUGAGUAACGCGUGGGUAACCUGCCCUGAAGUCUGGGAUAACAUGUGGAAACAGGUGCUAAUACAGGAUACUAAAGGAGGGCCCUGCGAUGCAUUGGCUAGUUGGUAAGGUAAAGGCUUAACAAGGCGAUGAUGCAUAGCCGGGUUGAGAGACGGAUCGGCACCAUUGGGACUGAGACGCGGCCGAAACUCCUACGGGAGGCAGCAGUAGGGAAUCUUCCAAAAUGGACGAAAGUCUGAUGGGGCAACGCCGCGUGAGUGAAGAAGGUUUUCGGAUCGUAAAGCUCUGUUGUUGGUGAAGCGGUAAUCAACCAGAGAGUCACGGCUAACUACGUGCCAGCCGCCGCGGUAAUGC